UGGGGAAUAUUGCACAAUGGGCGGAAGCCUGAUGCAGCGACGCCGCGUGAGGGAUGACGGCCUUCGGGUUGUAAACCUCUUUCAGUAGGGACGAAGCGUAAGUGACGGUACCUGCAGAAGAAGCACCGGCUAACUACGUGCCAGCAGCCGCGGUAAUACGUAGGGUGCGAGCGUUGUCCGGAAUUACUGGGCGUAAAGAGCUCGUAGGCGGUUUGUCACGUCGUCUGUGAAAUCCUAGGGCUUAACCCUGGACGUGCAGGCGAUACGGGCUGACUUGAGUACUACAGGGAGGACUGGAAUUUCUGGUGUAGCGGUGGAAUGCACAGAUAUCAGGAGGAACGCCGGUGGCGAAGGCGGGUCUCUGGGCCGUUACUGACGCUGAGGAGCGAAAGCGUGGGGAGCGAACAGG
rnacentral:rRNA from 1 species